rnacentral:tRNA from 1 species
GGUGAGGAUGACUUAAUCGGUUAAAGUGUCAGACUGUGACUCUGAAAAUACGGGUUCAAAUCCCGUUCUUCGCC